ACGGGAGGCAGCAGUGAGGAAUAUUGGUCAAUGGGCGGGAGCCUGAACCAGCCAUGCCGCGUGCAGGAAGACGGCCUUAUGGGUUGUAAACUGCUUUUAUAGUGGAGCAAUAAGCGCUAUGCGUAGCGUGAUGAGAGUACAUUAUGAAUAAGCAUCGGCUAACUCCGUGCCAGCAGCCGCGGUAAUACGGAGGAUGCGAGCGUUAUCCGGAUUUAUUGGGUUUAAAGGGUGCGUAGGCGGACGCGUAAGUCAGUGGUGAAAUAUGCCGGCUCAACCGGCAGGCUGCCAUUGAUACUGCGUGACUGGAGUAUAAACGGCGCAGGCGGAAUAUGUAAUGUAGCGGUGAAAUGCAUAGAUAUUACAUAGAACACCGAUCGCGAAGGCAGCUUGCGAGGAUAAUACUGACGCUGAGGCACGAAGGUGCGGGGAUCAAACAGGAUUAGAUACCCUGGUA
rnacentral:rRNA from 1 species